rnacentral:rRNA from 1 species
AUGGUGGUAACGGGUAACGGGGAAUUAGGGUUCGAUUCCGGAGAGGGAGCCUGAGAAACGGCUACCACAUCCAAGGAAGGCAGCAGGCGCGCAAAUUACCCAAUCCCGACACGGGGAGGUAGUGACAAUAAAUAACAAUACGGGGCUCUUUCGGGUCUCGUAAUUGGAAUGAGUACAAUUUAAAUCUCUUAACGAGGAACAAUUGGAGGGCAAGUCUGGUGCCAGCAGCCGCGGUAAUUCCAGCUCCAAUAGCGUAUAUUAAAGUUGUUGCAGUUAAAAAGCUCGUAGUUGAAUUUCGGGAUCAGUACGCCGGUCGUGCCUUCGGUAUGCACUGGUGUCACUGGUUUCUCCCUUCUGAAGAACCAUCAUGCCAUUCAGUUGGUGUGGCGGGGAAUCAGGACUGUUACUUUGAAAAAAUUAGAGUGUUUAAAGCAGGCUCGCGCUUGAAUACAUUAGCAUGGAAUAAUGAAAUAGGACGUUUGACCCUAUUUUGUUGGUUUCUAGGAUCGACGUAAUGAUUAAUAGGGAUAGUUGGGGGCAUUAGUAUUCAAUUGUCAGAGGUGAAAUUCUUGGAUUUAUUGAAGACUAACUACUGCGAAAGCAUUUGCCAAGGAUGUUUUCAUUAAUCAAGAACGAAAGUUAGGGGAUCGAAGACGAUCAGAUACCGUCGUAGUCUUAACCAUAAACUAUGCCGA